rnacentral:rRNA from 1 species
GAUGAACGCUAGCGGCAGGCUUAACACAUGCAAGUCGAGGGGCAGCAUGGUCUUCGGACUGAUGGCGACCGGCAAACGGGUGCGGAACACGUACAGAAUCUGCCUUUAUCUGGGGGAUAGCCUUUGGAAACGAAGAUUAAUACCCCAUAGUAUCAUUAAGUGGCAUCACUUUGAUGAUUAAAGAAUUUCGGAUAGAGAUGACUGUGCGUACUAUUAGCUAGUUGGUAGGGUAAUGGCCUACCAAGGCUACGAUAGUUAGCUGAUGUGAGAGCAUGAUCAGCCACACGGGCACUGAGACACGGGCCCGACUCCUACGGGAGGCAGCAGUGAGGAAUAUUGGUCAAUGGACGCAAGUCUGAACCAGCCAUGCCGCGUGAAGGAUGAAGGCGUUCUGCGUCGUAAACUUCUUUUACCUGGGAAGAAACCACUCUUUUCUAAGAGUGCCGACGGUACCAGAGGAAUAAGCACCGGCUAACUCCGUGCCAGCAGCCGCGGUAAUACGGAGGGUGCGAGCGUUAUCCGGAUUUACUGGGUUUAAAGGGUGUGUAGGCGGACUUUUAAGUCAGUGGUGAAAUCCCGGGGCUCAACCCCGGAACUGCCAUUGAUACUAUUGGUCUUGAAUACUGUGGAGGUAUGCGGAAUGUGUCAUGUAGCGGUGAAAUGCUUAGAGAUGACACAGAACGCCGAUUGCGAAGGCAGCGUACUACACAGUGAUUGACGCUGAGGCACGAAAGCGUGGGGAUCAAACAGGAUUAGAUACCCUGGUAGUCCACGCCCUAAACGAUGAUUACUCGACAUUGGCGAUAUGACUGAUCAGUGUCUGAGCGAAAGCAUUAAGUAAUCCACCUGGGGAGUACGUCCGCAAGGAUGAAACUCAAAGGAAUUGACGGGGGUCCGCACAAGCGGUGGAGUAUGUGGUUUAAUUCGAUGAUACGCGAGGAACCUUACCUGGGCUAGAAUGCUAGGUGCCCGCUGGUGAAAGCCAGUUUUCCGCAAGGACGCCUAGUAAGGUGCUGCAUGGCCGUCGUCAGCUCGUGCCGUGAGGUGUUGGGUUAAGUCCCGCAACGAGCGCAACCCCUAUCAUCAGUUGCCAGCACGUCAUGGUGGGAACUCUGGUGAAACUGCCGCCGUAAGGCGUGAGGAAGGAGGGGAUGAUGUCAGGUCAUCAUGGCCUUUAUGUCCAGGGCUACACACGUACUACAAUGGGGGAGACAAAGGGCUGCUACCUGGCGACAGGAUGCGAAUCUCAAAAACUCCCUCUCAGUUCAGAUUGGAGUCUGCAACUCGACUCCAUGAAGCUGGAAUCGCUAGUAAUCGUAGAUCAGCAAUGCUACGGUGAAUACGUUCCCGGACCU